UUAAAACUAAUUAUUUUUAUUAGCAUAUAAUGCAUUAUUUUCCCCAGGGGUACAGGUCUGUGAAUUGAAGAAAUGGGAAGUUUUAAAACAUCCUAUUCUACCAGUGGAUGCGAGAACCCCCUGCUCUGUGUUACACUUGGUAAACAACACCACAGGUUGCUUUCAGUGACCGUGAGAGUUCUUCGGAUUCCAACUUGCAGAACGUUCCUCGGGGACCCUGUGAUGCCCAAGCAGGAGAAUGGUCAGUUUUGGGAUCGAGCUGGUGGGCCUGUCUGAGGUGGCUCUCCCUGGGAGCAGGUCCCAGAAGCUACCGUUCCCCGUCGGGUUCUGUGACUUCUUCCAGUCUCUUUGCUCCUUCCUGUCACAUUCUGACUGGUUUCAAUGGAGCGGAAUCAGGCAUGUCUCUGUGGAACACGCUCAGAGGUUUUGGAGGACAUCUUGCGUACCCCUUUUUUAACCUGGUAAGUGGGACUCUCUGAAGCCAUUCCAAUCCCGGGUUGGAAAGCCAGCUUCAUAACUUACUCAGCACAUGACCUUGAAGAAAUAACUUACCCUUUUUUUUCAAAAGAUUUUAUUUAUUUAUUUGAUAGAGACACAGCAAGAGAGGGAACACAAGCAGGGGUAGAGGGAGAGAGAGAAGCAGGUUUCCUGUCGAGCAGGGAGCCUGAUGCAGGCCUUGAUCCCAGGACCCUGGAAUCAUGAAGGCAGACGCUUAACGACUGAACCUCCCAGGUGCCCAGGGGAUGAGUAUUCUUCAUCCCCUCGUGAUGUUACCAGAACGAUGAAAAAUUGUAUAAAAUACACACACACACACCCCACCUAGUGCCAUGCCUAUGGCUCAGUAA
rnacentral:lncRNA from 1 species